UGUGGGCGUGGCCUCUGAGCGGAGUGGGUUAAUAUGUCCCGGUCUUUCUGUUGAAACCACCGAGACUAUAAUGAAUUCUAGGGCAGCUUCUACGAGACGCUUAUAUGCUUUAAAAUGGAAACUGUUUACGGCCUGGUGUGGAAUUCGUAAUAUGGAUCCGGUUUACUGCCCAGUGGCUUCAGUACUGGAGUUCCUUCAAGACCGUUUCUCUGAUGGAGUAACGCCAGCCACUCUGAAAGUUUACGUGGCAGCCAUUUCAGCUAACCACGUAUAUAUAGAUGGUGCUUCAGUGGGCCGUCAUCCGCUGGUCUCUCGUUUUAUACAGGGUGCGCGAUGGCUGAGGCCUUUCCGCCCUGUGCGAGUUCCUUCAUGGGAUUUAUCCAUUGUGUUGCAAGGUUUAUCAGGGCAUCCGUUUGAGCCCUUGGAAACUAUACCGGAUAAAAUCCUGACUUUAAAGACAGUUCUUCUUGUGGCUUUAUCCUCCCUCAAGAGAGUUGGGGAUUUACAGGCUCUUUCUGUUUUGCCCUCGUGCAUGGAUUUUGCACCAGGCGCUGUGAAAGUAUUGCUGCAACCGAGGCCUAAUUAUGUCCCUAAGGUCGCUUCGAACCCUUUUCACUUUCAACAAGUGAUCUUGGAGGCUUUACCCCCUGCAGAGGCGGGGUCAGGAGAUCUGAGUCUUUGCCCUGUCAGAGCGCUGAAGACUUAUGUUGAUCGAACAGCCCCAUGGCGUGAGUCUGACCAGCUGUUUGUCUGUUUCGGACACAAGAAUAGAGGCCAUGCUGUCACAAAGCAACGCAUGUCCCAUUGGCUGGUGGAGGCAAUAUCUUUAGCCUAUGAGGCGCGCGGACUCGCUUCGCCCUUAGGAGUAAGAGCUCAUUCCACGAGAGCAGUGGCUUCUUCACAGGCUUUUCUCAGUGGAUCUUCUAUGGAUGAUAUCUGUGCUGCGGCAGGAUGGUCCUCUCUUUUGGAUGUAAGGACGGCCCCUGGCUCCCGGGUUCUCUCCGCUUGAGCAGAUGCUUCCUUGGAUCCAAGCUAUCAGGUACGUCAGGCGUUAUGGUAUAGGGUUCCCAUACGGUGACGUCACCGCAGCAUCUCGUUCCCUAUUCAGGGAACCGUGGUUACAUACGUAACCGAGAUGUUCUGA
ensembl:lncRNA